rnacentral:misc_RNA from 1 species
UUGAAUUCAUAUUUGCAACAGAGUUAGUGCUGGCAAAGUUAACUCUUUGUAUGUGCACACUCUCGAGCUUAUAAACAAACACUUGUGAACUAGCUGUAGACAGAAAGCGUGUAAAAGCCUUUCUGACUAUGAUAUCUUUACAUACUCCAAUUAGAAACAUAAAGAACGUGUAUUUGAGUUGUAACAGACUCUUCAUAAUAUUAUAAUA